rnacentral:rRNA from 1 species
UACGUAGGGUGCGAGCGUUGUCCGGAAUUAUUGGGCGUAAAGAGCUCGUAGGCGGUGUGUCACGUCGGCCGUGAAAACCUGCAGCUUAACUGUGGGCGUGCGGUCGAUACGGGCAUCACUGGAGUUCGGCAGGGGAGACUGGAAUUCCUGGUGUAGCGGUGAAAUGCGCAGAUAUCAGUAGGAACACCGGUGGCGAAGGCGGGUCUCUGGGCCGGUACUGACGCUGAGACGCGAAAGCGUGGGGAGCGAACAGG